rnacentral:rRNA from 1 species
GUGGGGAAUCUUCCACAAUGGGCGAAAGCCUGAUGGAGCAACGCCGCGUGAGUGAUGAAGGCCUUCGGGUUGUAAAGCUCUGUUAUUCGGGACGAAAGGCUCUGCGGACAAUACCCGCAGGGAUUGACGGUACCGGAAGAGAAAGCCACGGCUAACUACGUGCCAGCAGCCGCGGUAAUACGUAGGUGGCAAGCGUUGUCCGGAAUUAUUGGGCGUAAAGCGCGCGCAGGCGGCCUUUUAAGUCCAUCUUAAAAGCGUGGGGCUCAACCCCAUGAUGGGAUGGAAACUGAGAGGCUGGAGUAUCGGAGAGGAAAGCGGAAUUCCUAGUGUAGCGGUGAAAUGCGUAGAGAUUAGGAAGAACACCAGUGGCGAAGGCGGCUUUCUGGACGACAACUGACGCUGAGGCGCGAAAGCGUGGGGAGCAAACAGGAUUAGAAACCCGAGUAGUCC